AACGAACGCUGGCGGCAGGCUUAACACAUGCAAGUCGAGCGCCCCGCAAGGGGAGCGGCAGACGGGUGAGUAACGCGUGGGAACGUACCUUUUGGUUCGGAACAACUCCGGGAAACUGGAGCUAAUACCGGAUAAGCCCUAACGGGGAAAGAUUUAUCGCCGAAAGAUCGGCCCGCGUCUGAUUAGCUAGUUGGUGAGGUAACGGCUCACCAAGGCGACGAUCAGUAGCUGGUCUGAGAGGAUGAUCAGCCACACUGGGACUGAGACACGGCCCAGACUCCUACGGGAGGCAGCAGUGGGGAAUAUUGGACAAUGGGCGCAAGCCUGAUCCAGCCAUGCCGCGUGAGUGAUGAAGGCCUUAGGGUUGUAAAGCUCUUUUGUCCGGGAAGAUAAUGACUUUACCGGAAGAAUAAGCCCCGGCUAACUUCGUG
rnacentral:rRNA from 1 species